UUUAAGGCUUUCUUCAAAGCCAUUAAAUUUCCAUUAAAUUUAGCC
rfam:Pterocles gutturalis contig61038, whole genome shotgun sequence.